rnacentral:rRNA from 1 species
CCUUGACAUCCAGCGAACUUUCCAGAGAUGGAUUGGUGCCUUCGGGAACGCUGAGACAGGUGCUGCAUGGCUGUCGUCAGCUCGUGUUGUGAAAUGUUGGGUUAAGUCCCGNAACGAGCGCAACCCUUAUCCUUUGUUGCCAGCGAUUCGGUCGGGAACUCAAAGGAGACUGCCGGUGAUAAACCGGAGGAAGGUGGGGAUGACGUCAAGUCAUCAUGGCCCUUACGAGUAGGGCUACACACGUGCUACAAUGGCGCAUACAAAGAGAAGCGACCUCGCGAGAGCAAGCGGACCUCAUAAAGUGCGUCGUAGUCCGGAUCGGAGUCUGCAACUCGACUCCGUGAAGUCGGAAUCGCUAGUAAUCGUGGAUCAGAAUGCCACGGUGAAUACGUUCCCGGGCCUUGUACACACCGCCCGUCACACCAUGGGAGUGGGUUGCAAAAGAAGUAGGUAGCUUAACCUUCGGGAGGGCGCUUACCACUUUGUGAUUCAUGACUGGGGUGAAGUCGUAACAAGGUAAGCGUAGCGAG